AUGAUAUUGCGAAUGCAAUUGUGGCUGAAAUUGGCGUUGAGAUUGAGCUUGGAAUUGUUGGUUCGGCUGAGAUUGAGGCUGAAAUUGCUGAUGAGUCUGAAGCUGAGGCUGCAUGUGUAGUUGUGAUUGAGAGUGAGGUUGAAAUUGCUGUUGAGGUUGAUGCCCAGGCUGAGGAUGUAGUUGCGGUUGAGACUGAGGUUGAAAUUGCUGCUGAGGCUGAGGCUGAACAUUUGCUGGUUGAGAUUGAGAUUGAGAUUGAAACUGAUGCUGAGUUCGAGGCUGGAAUUGUGUCUGAAAUUGAGAUUGAGGUUGAAAUUGCUGCUGAUGCUGAGUUGGAGAAUGCGGUUGCAAAUGAGAUUGAGGAUGAAAUUGCUGCUGAGGCUGAGGUUGAGACUGAGGUUGCAAUUGAUGCUGGGGCUGAGAUGGAUGUUGUAACUGGUGCUGAGGUUGAGGUUGGGCCCAUGGAACAACAUAACUGUUGUAUGUUGCCUGCCCUUGGUUUUCAGAAUAUAUCUGGGAACUAUAAGGAUUCCCUUGUGUGCUUGAGGCCGCUGCUUGAGGCAUACUCUGGUUAGAGGCUGUUGGAGUAUGAGGGGUG
rnacentral:lncRNA from 1 species